rnacentral:lncRNA from 1 species
UUUUUAGUAAUUUAAUUUGUUUCAGAAGUGCUGUAUUGAAAUUUAAACAUGUAUUCUGGAACCGCGUAUAUAUUCGUUCUUGAUGUGCUGUAUUCGAUUGUGUUUUCGUUGAUGCUGACGGUGGCUUGUGCGCCGGGGGCGCUGCAUUGGUUUGUUGAGGGGUGUUUUAACUGGACUGACUGGUCUGCUCGUAAGUGCUUUACGAGCAGACCACUUAGUCCAGUUAAAACACUUGAAACAGCUAUCCCGCCUAGAGCAAUAGAGUGUGAGUAUAGUUAUUUAAACUGUGUUUUGUUUAUCAGUUAGACAUAAAGCACAAAAUAAAGCCUAUGUUAUGUAUCCUUAUCUUGCUGUAUUUACG